UAAAUGUUCCAUGAUAAUGGGUUAGGUAAAUGUUUCAUGAUAAUGGGUUAGGUAAAUGUUUCAUGAUAAGAAUUUCAUGUCUUUUGUAUUAAAGAAUUAAAUGGAUGAAAUAUGAAGUUUUAUUAAAAGAAAAAGGGGUGAAAAGAACAAAGUUUUGUCCAUCUUUGUUCAUCAUAGCUGAAAGUUAGAGAAGAGAAAGGAGAGGAGAAAGCUCUUGAGUAUUCUGUCAUUAGGAGGAGGAAAAUUGAAGGCAGUUCUUGUGUGGAUCUCGUCAGCAUAUCGUCGCAAACAGGUGUGUAACUAACACCCUCUUUCUUGGUCUAGAUCGGCAAAACUUGAAAA